CUGCUCGAGUCGGCAGCGGCAAGAACCUUUGGCCGCCUCUGCAAGGUCCCGGCCAUGUUCAGCUCCAGCGCCAAGAUCGUCAAGCCCAACGGCGAGAAGCCGGACGAGUUCGAGUCGGGCAUCUCCCAGGCCCUGCUGGAGCUGGAUAUGAACUCGGACCUCAAGGCGCAGCUUUGCCCCAAAGCAGAGAACUCAGUAAGUAGAAGCUUCAUUGCAUAACCCGCAUAUUUUUUAAAAAAAUCUUUUCUUAGUCUUUCAGCAAGAUUCAUCUCCAUCUACUCAAAAAAAAUUCAAAAAGAGCACGUCGUCUUCAUUGCCCAGAGGAGAAUUCUGCCUAAGCCAACUCGAAAAAGCCGUACGAAAAAUAAGCAGAAACGUCCCAGGAGCCGCACUCUUGACCGCCGUGCACGACGCCAUCCUGGAGGACUUGGUUUUCCCCAGUGAGAUCGUGGGCAAGAGGAUUCGCGUGAAACAGGUGCUUUAG